AAUAAGAGUAGUUUUACACUAUUUAUCUUUAACGUUUCAUCGUUUAUUUUAUUUAAAUAAAUUUUAUGAUUACUAUUUUUAUUAUUAUUAGAUGAUAAAACAUGAAUAUUACUUUAUGUGUGACUAAUUUUUUUUAAAAUUUUUAAUAAUUUUUUUAAAUAAGACGGACGGUCAAAUAUUGGACACGGAUUUUCACCUCUGCAUUUAUU
rnacentral:pre_miRNA from 1 species